rnacentral:rRNA from 1 species
CAGCCCCUCGAGUGGUAGGGAUGAUUAUUUGGCCUAAAGCGUCCGUAGCCGGCCGGAUAAGUCUCCCGUUAAAUCCAGCGUCUCAAGCGUUGGACUGCGGGAGAUACUGUCUGGCUAGAGAGUGGGAGAGGUGUACGGUAUUCUGGGGGUAGGGGCGAAAUCCUUUGAUCCCCGGAGGACCACCAGUGGCGAAGGCUGUGCACUAGAACACGUCUGACGGUCAGGGACGAAAGCUGGGGGAGCAAACCGGAUUAGAUACCCGAGUAGUCC